rnacentral:rRNA from 1 species
UACGGAGGGUGCGAGCGUUGUUCGGAAUCACUGGGCGUAAAGCGCGUGUAGGCGGCCCACUAAGUCUGAUGUGAAAGCCCGGGGCUCACCCCCGGAAGUGCAUUGGAAACUGGUGGACUCGAGUCCCGGAGAGGAGAGUGGAAUUCCUGGUGUAGCGGUGAAAUGCGUAGAUAUCAGGAGGAACACCGGUGGCGAAGGCGGCUCUCUGGACGGUUCCUGACGCUGAGGCACGAAGGCCAGGGGAGCAAACGGG